GGCGGCAGGCCUAACACAUGCAAGUCGAACGGUAACAGGAAGCAGCUUGCUGCUUUGCUGACGAGUGGCGGACGGGUGAGUAAUGUCUGGGAAACUGCCUGAUGGAGGGGGAUAACUACUGGAAACGGUGGCUAAUACCGCAUAACGUCGCAAGACCAAAGAGGGGGACCUUCGGGCCUCUUGCCAUCAGAUGUGCCCAGAUGGGAUUAGCUUGUUGGUGAGGUAACGGCUCACCAAGGCGACGAUCCCUAGCUGGUCUGAGAGGAUGACCAGCCACACUGGAACUGAGACACGGUCCAGACUCCUACGGGAGGCAGCAGUGGGGAAUAUUGCACAAUGGGCGCAAGCCUGAUGCAGCCAUGCCGCGUGUAUGAAGAAGGCCUUCGGGUUGUAAAGUACUUUCAGCGGGGAGGAAGGUGUUGUGGUUAAUAACCACAGCAAUUGACGUUACCCGCAGAAGAAGCACCGGCUAACUCCGUGCCAGCAGCCGCGGUAAUACGGAGGGUGCAAGCGUUAAUCGGAAUUACUGGGCGUAAAGCGCACGCAGGCGGUCUGUCAAGUCGGAUGUGAAAUCCCCGGGCUCAACCUGGGAACUGCAUUCGAAACUGGCAGGCUUGAGUCUUGUAGAGGGGGGUAGAAUUCCAGGUGUAGCGGUGAAAUGCGUAGAGAUCUGGAGGAAUACCGGUGGCGAAGGCGGCCCCCUGGACAAAGACUGACGCUCAGGUGCGAAAGCGUGGGGAGCAAACAGGAUUAGAUACCCUGGUAGUCCACGCCGUAAACGAUGUCUACUUGGAGGUUGUGCCCUUGAGGCGUGGCUUCCGGAGCUAACGCGUUAAGUAGACCGCCUGGGGAGUACGGCCGCAAGGUUAAAACUCAAAUGAAUUGACGGGGGCCCGCACAAGCGGUGGAGCAUGUGGUUUAAUUCGAUGCAACGCGAAGAACCUUACCUGGUCUUGACAUCCACAGAACUUUCCAGAGAUGGACUGGUGCCUUCGGGAACUGUGAGACAGGUGCUGCAUGGCUGUCGUCAGCUCGUGUUGUGAAAUGUUGGGUUAAGUCCCGCAACGAGCGCAACCCUUAUCCUUUGUUGCCAGCGAUUAGGUCGGGAACUCAAAGGAGACUGCCAGUGAUAAACUGGAGGAAGGUGGGGAUGACGUCAAGUCAUCAUGGCCCUUACGACCAGGGCUACACACGUGCUACAAUGGCGCAUACAAAGAGAAGCGACCUCGCGAGAGCAAGCGGACCUCAUAAAGUGCGUCGUAGUCCGGAUUGGAGUCUGCAACUCGACUCCAUGAAGUCGGAAUCGCUAGUAAUCGUGGAUCAGAAUGCCACGGUGAAUACGUUCCCGGGCCUUGUACACACCGCCCGUCACACCAUGGGAGUGGGUUGCAAAAGAAGUAGGUAGCUUAACCUUCGGGAGGGCGCUUACCACUUUGUGAUUCAUGACUGGGGUGAAGUCGUAACAAGGUAACCGUAGGGGAACCUGCGGUUGGAUCACCUCCUUACCU
rnacentral:rRNA from 1 species